CAGCUUUUCCUUUGUCAGCCUAAAAGAACCAGAAGGCCAAUCUCAGGGUGGCUGUGACAUUACCUUCAGAUUGAAAGUUGAAGAAACUCUUUGAAAGAGAACAUCUAUUCAACCAAGUCUCAAAAGGAAAAUAAUUUCUGCAAACCUCACACUCCGAAUCCACCAGCACAUCCACCUGUUGGAGGUUUCGGAGACCGGUUUGGUCCAAACCGUGGCUUGUCUUCAGGGUACAGGAAUGAGAAGUGACAUAACUCUACAUUUCCCAGACCUAAUUCAGUAUGGAAAUAAACAUGGAGUUGCAGGGUUGAUGUGAUAUUUGCCAAAUGAGCAAGGUAAACUGGACUGUCUUGGAAGACUGAGACUAGACUUGGUUCAGCACUACCCAGACCUAAUUAAUUACAGAAGUAAAGGUGGAGUUGGAGGAUGAAUGCCAGAGGAAUUGUCUAAGGAGUAAGGUAUGCAGACAGUCUAUGGAUUUAUGAAUUCAUGCACAGUAUUUUGCAUGCUCAGUGUGUUUGGAUACAGUUUUAGCUGCAAUUAGCAUUUUAGCUUCCCGGAAGGGAGUGAAUGUCAUGAUUUAAAUCAUGCUGUUAGAAGGAAAGUCAGAUGUACAUUAAGCAAUGUGUUAUGAAAUAUUAUUUUGUGAUAUUUAGCAUAUAGAGUUUAUCUAUAAUACCUAAAGUGUUUAUUUUUUAUCUGCAACUGUGAUAAUAUAUCUUACAUAAAAGAACCAAAACAAAUAUGAACAAAAUUGACAAUGUUUUGUGACAGACAAAUGUGAAUGAGAAAAAAUAAAAAUGUUUUUGAUGCAUUUAAAAAUAUUUGU
ensembl:lncRNA